GAUAAUCUACCCGCGGGUGGGGAAUAACUCUCCGAAAGGGGAGCUAAUACCGCAUAACACUCGUUUAGGGCAUCCUGAGCGAGUCAAAGAGGGGGACUCAAGGGCCUCUCGCCUGCAGAGGAGUCCGCGGCCGAUUAGCUAGUUGGUGAGGUAAAGGCUCGCCAAGGCAGCGAUCGGUAGCCGGCCUGAGAGGGUGACCGGCCACACUGGCACUGAAACACGGGCCAGACUCCUACGGGAGGCAGCAGUGGGGAAUUUUGGGCAAUGGCCGAAAGGCUGACCCAGCAACGCCGCGUGAAGGAUGAAAUCCUUCGGGAUGUAAACUUCGCAAGUCAGGGAAGAAUAAACGUGGUUUAACAAGCCACGAUAUGACGGUACCUGACGUAAGCCCCGGCUAACUCCGUGCCAGCAGCCGCGGUAAUACGGGGGGGGCAAGCGUUGUUCGGAAUUAUUGGGCGUAAAGGGCGCGUAGGCGGCCCAGCCAAGUCGAGUGUGAAAUCCCAGGGCUUAACCCUGGAGGGUCGCUCGAUACUGGCAGGCUAGAGUGUGGAAGAGGGUGCUGGAAUUCCCGGUGUAGCGGUGAAAUGCGUAGAUAUCGGGAGGAACACCAGUGGCGAAGGCGGGCACCUGGGCCAACACUGACGCUGAGGCGCGAAAGCUAGGGGAGCAAACAGGAUUAGAUACCCUGGUAGUCCUAGCCUUAAACGAUGAUGACUUGGUGUGUCGGGUUUUUAGUCCCGAUGUGCCGGAGCUAACGCGUUAAGUCAUCCGCCUGGGGAGUACGGUCGCAAGACUGAAACUCAAAGGGAUUGACGGGGACCCGCACAAGCGGUGGAGCAUGUGGUUUAAUUCGACGCAACGCGAAGAACCUUACCUGGGCUAGAAUGCGAGGGACGGAGUUGCAAAACAGCUCCUUCUGGGGGAAACUCCAGACCCGAAGCAAGGUGCUGCAUGGCUGUCGUCAGCUCGUG
rnacentral:rRNA from 1 species